CCUGCCACCACCCCUCUUUUUCUCUUUACUUCUUUCACUUCCUUCCUUGCUUCCUUGAUCUCCUCGCUUCCAUAUUUUCCUCCACUUUGCCUUCGCCACCGCCAUAACCAUGAUAUCGAUGCCAGUUCUGAUGCUGAGGUCCAUGUUGACUAUGCUGAGAGCACUUGUGCGUGAACCCGCCGCCACAGUGACCACCAUCCUCUUCUACACCAAUCUCCUUCCUCGCCAUCUUUACUUAGAGCGAUCUCUCCGCCCAGACCUUCUUCACCCUCACAACUAUUUCUUCCAUCUUCUUAUCAACUUCCUCACCUGUCUCUGAUCAGAGCUACGAAUGAGAUCAGUUCAUGAACUCAUGAAACUCAGCGUUGAGCCUCACACAUGUUUAUCCGCAUGUGUGGAAGAUAGGAUAUUGAAGUUGUAAAUUUGUCAGUGUAGGAACUGAAUCUAGCUAGCUGGAUGGUUGUUAAUUGAAGAGAAGGUCCGAUCAAAUUUCAGGGAAUUAUCAUAUCAUCAAUAUUAUGCAUUGAGCUAGAUUGAGAGCCAAAAUUAUUUGAGGAUUUAUCACGUAAUUUAUGUAUGCACAAGUGUAAUUUGAACAUG